GGCUUGAGACAAGAGGGCUUACUCACGUCAUAACAGCGUAGUAGGAAAUGAUGGCGAGGGGAGUACGGAAAUGUUAUUCACUGUGGAACAGGUCAUAGGACAGCGUGAAUGUCUGUCAGCUGUCCUUAAUUACCCCCAGCAAUUACUGCUGACCAACAGCUGCCGUUACUUGGCCACAAAUUAUCCAUCAUGGUGUCGCCCCCACUGACCAUGUGCAAGGGAGUACGAAAAUGGCAUCCAUCGCACCCACUGACCAAUGACCACGCAAGGGAGUUAAUUUUCCAUCCACUCGUGUCCUCAGGCAACGCCCCCGUACUACACCGUGGCCAAUGCAUUCCCCACCAAGAGAUUGUUCUUUCUCUUGAGUUUCUUUGAUGCUGACCAAGUCUGGGACAUAACAAAGUGUCGUCGGCUAGCAUGGGUCGCUGCUGUAAGACGACCAAAAAUAACUUUCCACUCAAUCCUGACGAGUGUGCUCUCUGCAUUUUCAUUUUGGUACACCAGCAAAUGAAAUGAACACCUCCCAUCCGGAUUGGGCACUAUCACUGCACUUGGGGUACACGACCAAGACAGUCACCACCACCACCGAGACUUCUCGCUAUGAGACAGGAACAAAGAAAACGACGAAGGACUGAGAGCAUAGCGUCGAUGGAUGAGACACCCCUUGUUACACCAGUGGAGACAACUGGGGGAGCAUCAGCAUCAGCACCUGCAGGCCUAGAGGAUGAAGCUGACCAGGGGCCGGUGUGUGCUGAGGUAAAGAUCCCCGCCUUCACAAGAGGACACUGUCAAUUGGAAGCAAGAGAUGUGGAAAACACAAGGACAAUUGCUCAUCUCCGAAUUCACGUGGAAAGGGUGAUUGGAACUGUCUGAAACAAAUACACAAUUUUGUCUGCAAAAGUGCCCAUCAACAUGGUGUUGCCAUGUGAAGGUGAAGAAAAAACAUUCCUUGACAAGAUUGUGUCUGUAUGUUGUACUCUGACCAUCAUGAGCAGGAGUGUUGUGCAAAGCUGAAGUUGACUGAAAUAAAUGUGCUUUGAGACUCAA